CAGCCGCCGCGGUAAUACCGGCGGCCCGAGUGGCGGUCACUUUUAUUGGGCUUAAAGCGUCCGUAGCCGGGCUGGUAAGUCCUCCGGGAAAUCUGGUCGCUUAACGAUCAGACUUCCGGAGGAUACUGCUGGCCUAGGGACCGGGAGAGGCCGAGGGUAUUUCCGGGGUAGGGGUGUAAUCCUGUAAUCCCGGGAGGACCACCUGUGGCGAAGGCGCUCGGCUGGAACGGGUCCGACGGUGAGGGACGAAGGCCAGAGGAGCGAACCGGAUUAGAUGCCCGGGUAGUCCUGGCUGUAAACGAUGCGGACUAGGUGUCGGGCAAGCUAAGGGCUUGUCCGGUGCCGCAGGGAAGCCGUUAAGUCCGCCGCCUGGGGAGUACGGCCGCAAGGCUGAAACUUAAAGGAAUUGGCGGG
rnacentral:rRNA from 1 species